CAGUCGCCGCGGGAAUACGUAGGUGGCAAGCGUUGUCCGGAAUUAUUGGGCGUAAAGGGCUCGCAGGCGGUUUCUUAAGUCUGAUGUGAAAGCCCCCGGCUCAACCGGGGAGGGUCAUUGGAAACUGGGAAACUUGAGUGCAGAAGAGGAGAGUGGAAUUCCACGUGUAGCGGUGAAAUGCGUAGAGAUGUGGAGGAACACUAGUGGCGAAGGCGACUCUCUGGUCUGUAACUGACGCUGAGGAGCGAAAGCGUGGGGAGCGAACAGGAUUAGAUACCCCAGUAGUCCCUGUCUCUUAUAC
rnacentral:rRNA from 1 species